rnacentral:rRNA from 1 species
GAUGAACGCUAGCGGCAGGCUUAACACAUGCAAGUCGAGGGGUAUUGGUUUUCGGACCAAGAGACCGGCGCACGGGUGCGUAACGCGUAUGCAAUCUACCUUUUGCAGAGGGAUAGCCCCAGAGAAAUUUGGAUUAAUACCUCAUAGUAUAGUACUUUGGCAUCAAGGAACUAUUAAAGUCACAACGGCAAAAGAUGAGCAUGCGUCCCAUUAGCUAGUUGGUAAGGUAACGGCUUACCAAGGCUACGAUGGGUAGGGGUCCUGAGAGGGAGAUCCCCCACACUGGUACUGAGACACGGACCAGACUCCUACGGGAGGCAGCAGUGAGGAAUAUUGGACAAUGGGCGCAAGCCUGAUCCAGCCAUGCCGCGUGCAGGAAUAAGGUCCUAUGGAUUGUAAACUGCUUUUAUACAGGAAGAAACACACCCUCGUGAGGGUACUUGACGGUACUGUAUGAAUAAGGACCGGCUAAACUCCGUGCCAGCAGCCGCGGUAAAGUG